UACAGAGGGUGCAAGCGUUGCUCGGAUUUACUGGGCGUAAAGCGUACGCAGACGGCUCGGCAAGUCGGGAGUGAAAGCCCUGGGCUCAACCCAGGAACUGCUUCCGAUACUAUCGGUCUUGAGUUUGGGAGAGGGAAGCGGAAUUCCUGGUGUAGAGGUGAAAUUCGUAGAUAUCAGGAGGAACACCGGCGGCGAAGGCGGCUUCCUGGCCCAAUACUGACGUUCAGGUACGAAAGCGUGGGUAGCAAACAGG
rnacentral:rRNA from 1 species